CCUACGGGAGGCAGCAGUGGGGAAUAUUGGGCAAUGGAGGAAACUCUGACCCAGCAACGCCGCGUGAAUGAUGAAGGUCUUCGGAUUGUAAAGUUCUUUUCUAAGGGAAGAAGAAAGUGACGGUACCUUAGGAAUAAGCCUCGGCUAACUACGUGCCAGCAGCCGCGGUAAUACGUAGGAGGCAAGCGUUCUCCGGAAUGACUGGGCGUAAAGGGUGCGUAGGUGGUUUGACAAGUUGGUAGCGUAACUCCGAGGCUUAACCUAGGCACUACUACCAAAACUGUUGGACUCGAGUGCAGGAGGGGCAAAUGGAAUUCCUAGUGUAGCGGUGGAAUGCGUAGAUAUUAGGAGGAACACCAGUGGCGAAGGCGAUUUGCUGGACUGUAACUGACACUGAGGCACGAAAGCGUGGGGAGCAAACAGGAUUAGGUACCCUUGUAGUC
rnacentral:rRNA from 1 species